UGCAGUCUGUCUCUUGGGUGUUUUAAGUGCACGCCAAACUGCAAGAUCUUCCUAAAGCCCAGCUUCGAUUCAGGAGGCUCUGCUAGGCAGCUGGUGAAUAAUGGGAUCAAAGGUUUGAACUGUGAAUAAGUUAUCACUAAUUUUCCUGUGCUCUUCUGCUAGCAAGAUGUCAGCAGCUCUCUUUGUUGUGAAUGCAUUUCCCAGAAUCUGGCCUGAUGGAUACAAAAAGAAAAUUUGAUCCUCAUUCAAGAAGAUAUGCAUCUCACCCCCAGAAGUGGGUCAGAGAAAUGGGCAUCCUGCCAUACCCCAAAGUGCACCCUACAAAUGGGUCAAUUGAAGGCAGGUGGCCCUGCGGCAGCUCUAUCCAUGCUUGUUUACCAACCACAUCCAUGCAGCCUGUCUCCUUGCCCAAGUCAGCCAAACCUCCCUGAAGACCUAUUGGAGGAGCUCCCUCAUGACAGAGCAGAGGAAGAAACCCUAUCUAACACCAAGACUCACCAAGAGAACAAAAGACCUGUGCAGGCAGUAUACAGCAUGAUCUGACCCUCAUAGCGUCUUCUUUUCUGUAUUUGCAGGUGGCCUCAAGAACCA